UACGUAGGGUGCAAGCGUUGUCCGGAAUUAUUGGGCGUAAAGAGCUUGUAGGCGGUUUGUCGCGUCUGCUGUGAAAUUUCGGGGCUCAACCCCGAACUUGCAGUGGGUACGGGCAGGCUAGAGUGUGGUAGGGGAGACUGGAAUUCCUGGUGUAGCGGUGAAAUGCGCAGAUAUCAGGAGGAACACCGAUGGCGAAGGCAGGUCUCUGGGCCACAACUGACGCUGAGGAGCGAAAGCGUGGGGAGCGAACAGG
rnacentral:rRNA from 1 species